rnacentral:rRNA from 1 species
UUGAACGCUGGCGGCAUGCCUUACACAUGCAAGUCGAACGGCAGCACGGGGGCGACCCUGGUGGCGAGUGGCGAACGGGUGAGUAACGCAUCGGAACGUACCCGGAAGUGGGGGAUAACGUAGCGAAAGUUACGCUAAUACCGCAUACGUCCUGAGGGAGAAAGCGGGGGACCGUAAGGCCUCGCGCGAUUGGAGCGGCCGAUGUCGGAUUAGCUAGUUGGUGGGGUAAAGGCCUACCAAGGCGACGAUCCGUAGCGGGUCUGAGAGGAUGAUGCGCCACACUGGGACUGAGACACGGCCCAGACUCCUACGGGAGGCAGCAGUGGGGAAUUUUGGACAAUGGGGGCAACCCUGAUCCAGCCAUGCCGCGUGAGUGAAGAAGGCCUUCGGGUUGUAAAGCUCUUUCAGACGGAAAGAAAACGCAUCGGUGAAUACCCGGUGUGGAUGACGGUACCGUAAGAAGAAGCACCGGCUAACUACGU